rnacentral:pre_miRNA from 1 species
UAACUACUCCCUCCGUUCGGAAUUAUUUGUCUCGAAAAUGGAUGUAUCUAGAACUAAAAUACGUCUAGAUAUAUUCAUUUCUGGGACAAGUAAUUCCGAACGGAGGGAGUAAUUA